rnacentral:sRNA from 1 species
AUUUACCGGAACAUUCCAGGAUUUUUACGUACACUUAUGGAUGCCCUGAGAAAAGACAAAAUAAUCUUUCCUAAUGAUGAAAAUGUUAAAUUCCUUUCUUCUCCUCUUCUCAUCUUACAUGGAGAGGAUGACAGGACAGUGCCUUUGGAGUAUGGGAAAAAGGUCUAUGAAAUUGCAUGCAAUGCAUACAGGAACAAAGAGAGGGUCAAGAUGGUUAUCUUUCCUCCUGGCUUCCAACAUAACCUGCUUUGUAAAAGCCCCACACUGUUAAUAACCGUGAGAGAUUUCCUGAGCAAGCAAUGGUCAUGAGUCUGGGAGGAGUGGAAAUCUUCAAUGAAGACUUGGUCCAAACACCACCUGUGAUGUGUAUUGUUUUAAUGUAAAAUUGUACUGGGCUGGUCGGAUGAGCUGAAGCCAUUGACUUCUCUACAAAUCACUUGCCAUUUUAACAACAGAAAGUACGAAUGUUAGGCAGUAUGGAAUGUUCUUGUUUGGCUUAUCAUAAUCUACUUUG